rnacentral:lncRNA from 1 species
UUAUUUUGAUGUCAUUUGAAGUAUACGGGGCUGUCUACUUUAUGCUUUGGAUUUAUGAAUGGUUAAAAUAUUGGGUAUUUUAGUUAAUUAAUCAGAUAUCAUUUUAUUUUUUUUAUUUUUUUUUUUAAAUUUGGUAUAUGGUUGGAAUUUUCCUAUGUUUAAUUAAUAUACCUUUUGUGUUCGUAUUAAUUAUAUCAUAACUUCUUUUUAUCAUAUUAAAAGUGGUGAAAUGGUUUUUUCACAUUAUUGUUUUGUAUAAAAAUACAAAAUACGUAUUAAACUUUUAUUUUCAAAGUAAU